AUAAUAAUAAUAAUAAUAAUUCGAUCUUAUAUACAAGAAACACAACCUUUUCUUUUAAUUAAGGUUGCUCAAAUUCAUAUGCAAGCUUGUGGGGGUGGUGGGUUUAAUUAACUACUGUAAUUAAUUUACAUGAUUAUUCUUAUUUACAAUUUUCUGUCCUAAAUGUAAGGAUUAAUAUGGGAUGUGUAGUCCCUAAUUCCAGCACCUUCCCAUCCCAUCCACUCUUCCCACAUGUCCCAAUCUGGAUCGUCCAUUCCUCUCAUUGGCUCAUCUAUUCCUUGAUCAGUUGGCUCAUAUGAUGAGUACAUUUGUGAUUCAUCUGCUUCUCCUCUCAAACUGCUCAACACAAUAUCAUAGGCUUCAUUAAUCCUAGUGAACUGCACAUUACAAUUGCUUUCUCUGCAUACAUCAGGAUGAUACUGCAAAGCAAGCUGCCUAAAGGCUUUCUUGACCUCAGAUUCAGAGGCACCAGGCUGGAUCCUAAGGGUCUUGUAAGGAUCCAUCACAGAAGAUGAAGAAGAAACACAGAGAAACCUGACUCUAUCUCCCCUCAUAUUGUUAUUAUUCUUCCUCCUCUUCUUGAUCUGAAACCAAGAAGAUGAAGAACCAGUACAACCAUUUCCCCCAAUCAUUCCAACAGCAGCACAAGCCAUAUUUUCCGAUCACUCUUAGAAGGUAACAACACAAUUCAAGAAAUACCCAGAAAAUCGUCCUUAUAAAUGAUUUAAUGAGAAACAAAAAACCAAGAAAAACAAAACAGUGGGCAAGAAAUGGACGGUUUUGGCUCUUGAGAAAUUGGUAAAGGUGAAAGCUUUCAAUAAUAGAAUAGACAAAAAAGGUAAGGGAGAGUGUUGAUACAAGGAGAUGUGCAAAGGGCAAAGGGAAAGAAUGUUCAUAUAGCCAUUGAAGGUCCUUAUCCACAAUGUCCGGUUUUUGUGAUGGUUGUGACGUGUAAACGUAGAAAUUUCAGGUUUCAGGGAAAAUUGAGAGGAGUUCUGUGCUUAUCCUGGUACUAGUCAGAUUGGAAGAAACGACUUUUG
rnacentral:misc_RNA from 1 species